rnacentral:rRNA from 1 species
AUGGUCAUUGACGCACCAAAAUUGACAGUGUUGGGCUAUUUGUGUGCUGAAUUCUUUGAACUUGUAACUGGAUCCAUAUCCAUUCAGACAACGAUUCCCACAAGCAUGACCCCAUUUCUGCGCACAGUGAAGAACUUGGCACUACAAUCUAUCGGCCCCGAUCUGGAUCAAGUUGUUAGAUUCCUCAGAUGGUUUCAGUGCACGGAGAAGCUAUACAUCGAGAUACAAGCAUGCCCGAAAGUGGAAAAUGUGGCACAAUAUAACAAUCCCAUCGAAUGCCUUCAUAUCCAUCUAGCAUAA